rnacentral:rRNA from 1 species
GAUGAACGCUGGCGGCGUGCCUAAUACAUGCAAGUCGAGCGAACGGACGAGAAGCUUGCUUCUCUGAUGUUAGCGGCGGACGAGUGAGUAACACGUGGAUAACCUACCUAUAAGACUGGGAUAACUUCGGGGAACCGGAGCUAAUACCGGAUAAUAUUUUGAACCGCAUGGUUCAAAAGUGAAAGACGGUCUUGCUGUCACUUAUAGAUGGAUCCGCGCUGCAUUAGCUAGUUGGUAAGGUAACGGCUUACCAAGGCAACGAUGCAUAGCCGACCUGAGAGGGUGAUCGGCCACACUGGAACUGAGACACGGUCCAGACUCCUACGGGAGGCAGCAGUAGGGAAUCUUCCGUAAUGGGCGAAAGCCUGACGGAGCAACGCCGCGUGAGUGAUGAAGGUCUUCGGAUCGUAAAACUCUGUUAUUAGGGAAGAACAUAUGUGUAAGUAACUGUGCACAUCUUGACGGUACCUAAUCAGAAAGCCACGGCUAACUACGUG